rnacentral:rRNA from 1 species
AUACGUAUGGUCCUAGCGUUGUCCGGAAUGACUGGGCGUAAAGGGUGUGUAGGCGGAUGUAUAUGUCAGAUGUGAAAUACCUCGGCUUAACUGAGGCAUUGCGUUUGAAACUGUACAUCUUGAGCAUGUCAGGGGUAAGCGGAAUUCCCGGAGUAGCGGUGAAAUGCGUAGAUAUCGGGAAGAACACCGGUGGCGAAGGCGGCUUACUGGGGCAGAGCUGACGCUGAGGCACGAAAGCGUGGGGAGCGAACGGGAUUAGAUACCCCGGUAGUCCACGCCGUAAACGAUGGAUACUAGAUGUCAGUUGCAUAAUAGCAGUUGGUAUCGAAGCCAACGCGAUAAGUAUCCCGCCUGGGGAGUACGUUCGCAAGAUUAAAACUCAAAUGAAUUGGCGGGG